rnacentral:rRNA from 1 species
UACGAAGGGGGCUAGCGUUGCUCGGAAUCACUGGGCGUAAAGCGCACGUAGGCGGCUUUUUAAGUCAGGGGUGAAAUCCUGGAGCUCAACUCCAGAACUGCCUUUGAUACUGAGAAGCUUGAGUCCGGGAGAGGUGAGUGGAACUGCGAGUGUAGAGGUGAAAUUCGUAGAUAUUCGCAAGAACACCAGUGGCGAAGGCGACUUCCUGGCCUGUUCUUGACGCUGAGGCGCGAAAGCUAGGGGAGCAAACGGG